AGUGGAGAGGGGGAGCCAAUAAGGAUUGCGCUCAGCCACUCCCCUAAGUCUGUACAGCGGUGUACCCUCGAUGUAUCGUGUCUCGAACUGCGGGCUAUCUCCGCGGCCGCCGUUGCCUUUCAUGUUAUGAACUACGAGCACCAUGCGGGAUUCCCACAAACACAUGAGAUUUUGUUCCUAUCAUAUUUUAGGGAGUGAACACCCACAUCAUUAUUUCAAAAGUCCACUAAGCAUUAUACUAAAUCCGUAUCGAUAAUACUGGUAUGCCUGUUACAUGAUUUAUAGCCGUGAGAAAAGUUUUGUUUGAAAAAAAAAAUAAAAUUCAUACUUAAAUUGAGAUUUCGUCUGGAGAAAAUGUGCAAGACGAGUAAGCGUAGAAGCGUAGCGCGCGCUCCGGCUACAGCGUGCGCUCUUCGAUUCCGCUGAUUGCCGCCGACAUUGCUUAAUUAUCAAUUAACAGUUAUUGCUGGGGAUUAUUAAUAAAACAUUCGCCCUGACUAUUGGCACUUAGAUUAACGUUGAGGGAGUAAUGGCGCAUUUCAACAAUUUCGGUUGUUAUUUAAUUGAAGUCAAUUUAGAUGAUCAGAGUCUAUUUAGGUUGGUGCUGGCACUCGCCAACGGGAUCUCUGCUUCAUUGGGCUCAUUGGAGACUUUCAGACAACACGAAUUGCACUCGUUGAUGCACUUGUGCAUGUGCAAUUUGUUUUUUGGUUAAAACGUGCCACGUGGAAUGUCUACUACACAAAUACUUACUGUGCAAGCGCUAUUGGAAUUAGUGACUCAAGUCAAGUCAAAGUUUUGGUGAUCAGUUCGAAAUGACUUAUCAUUAUCCGGUUCAGUGUCUAAGGUGUUUUGAUAUGUAUUGUGUAGUGACGUGAGGUGACUAUAAAUGUGUAAGUUAGAACUGCUGAAGCAGAAAAAAGCCAUAACAAUAUAACGACACAGGCAAACAUGUAUCGCUAUAAACGAAGAAUGCUUCGGAGACUCUGGGUACGCAUCGUUUGAGCCAAUAGUGUAUCGUAUACAACAUGGUUAGAAUAACUGCCAGAAAGGUGCAGGCAGCCAAACAUACAUUGUGCUGGAGACCUAAUGACCAGCCACAGCGGAGACGAUCCUCGUCAUAUAUAUCUGAAGGAAAAAACCAGCAGAUUAAGGAAAUAUCCAUUUGUAUUGGAGAGAAAUUGUAAUUUUAACAAUGAUUUGUUUGAAUAAAGAUAAAUUAUAAUUUUA